AGAGUUUGAUCCUGGCUCACAGUGAACGCUGGCGGCGUGGCUAAGGCAUGCAAGUCGCACGGGUGUAGCAAUACACCAGUGGCGCAAGGGUGAGUAAUGGAUAGCUAACGUACCCUGAACUGGGGCAUAGCCGGUCGAAAGAUCGGGUAAUUCCCCAUAAAGUCGCGAGAUCGCAUGAUUUUGCGACCAAAGGUGAGGAC
rnacentral:rRNA from 1 species